AGGUUUAGUUAGGUACACUGUUCC
rnacentral:siRNA from 1 species